GCAAUUUAUGGUCUGAAGCAGGCUCCUCGUGCUUGGCAUGCUCGUCUUGCAAUGGCUUUUCGUGCUCAUGGUUUUGCAUCAUCAACUGCUGACUCCUCAUUGUUUCUUCUUCAAAGGCCUGAGGUUACUAUGUACUUGUUGGUCUAUGUAGAUGAUAUCAUUUUGGUCAGCUCCUCUCAGUCGGCUGCUACUGCGCUUGUUCGCUCACUUGGUGCUGAUUUUGUGGUCAAGGACCUUGGGAAGCUUCAUUACUUUCUUGGUGUGGAGGUUACUUCUCGUGAUGCUGGCCUUGUUAUGACGCAGAAGAAGUACUCUCUGGAUUUGUUGCAGCGAGCUGGGAUGCUUAAGUGCAAACCGACGACUACACCCAUGUCU
rnacentral:rRNA from 1 species